rnacentral:rRNA from 1 species
UACGGGGGGGGCAAGCGUUGUUCGGAAUUACUGGGCGUAAAGGGCUCGUAGGCGGCCAACUAAGUCAGACGUGAAAUCCCUCGGCUUAACCGGGGAACUGCAUCUGAUACUGGAUGGCUUGAGAUCGGGAGAGGGAUGCGGAAUUCCAGGUGUAGCGGUGAAAUGCGUAGAUAUCUGGAGGAACACCGGUGGCGAAGGCGGCAUCCUGGACCGACACUGACGCUGAACAGCGAAAGCCAGGGGAGCAAACGGG